rnacentral:lncRNA from 1 species
CUUCUAACAUUAACAGGUCUAUGAAUGUCUGUAACUCCGCCUAUGAGCGUGUCUCUUAUCAUCCAUCUUAACUGAAAUCUUUAGAGUAGGCUGUGCCAUAACAUGUUAUGUCCUCAACACGCCGAGCACAGUGCCUUGCACUUAGCAGGUGCUCCACAAAUAGUUUUUGAGUAAAUUAUUUACCUGGGCGACACUGGAGGUAGACUGAGUACACAAGGAAUUAAUAGAAGACAAAGGGGUGCGGGAUUGUAUCAGCACAAGGAGAUGAGAUCAAGGGAUUAAUUUGAAGAAACAUUUUUCUCUGUAAAUAUAGAUAUUUUAUGGGUUGGUUACAGAUGGAUAGGAAGUACCAUUUUUAGUUGCACACCAUAUCUGUUCCUUCCCUCCUUUUAGGAGCAUCUCUGAACAGGAACCAAAUUGUCCUCAUUUGACAAUGUCUCUUAGUAGAAAUUUCCCUUCUCCACCAUCAUUUUUCUAUUCUUAAGAUCACACUAAAUUGUGUCAUUAACAUUUUUUUAUCAUUUAUAUUUCUCUCAUCAUAUAUCUCUGCCAGAUUUAUCUCAAAGAAUAUCUUUUCUACCGAUCUCUUUCUUUCCAUUUUUCUCACAAUGCUACUUGUGAUUAUAAAGAACUUGAAUUGGGACACUAUUGUUUAUACUCAUAGUCCAAAGUACAAGAAGACCAUAUGCAAUGAAGUAAAAUUGGACAUUCGACAGAAAGAUAAAUGCGAUUCUUUCUAUCUCAGUUUUAGCCAAGGCCCCAAAGGUUUAUGUAUAUAUAACAGUGAGGUAGGAAGGGCCCCACGCAGAAUUGCUAAGACUGCAAAACCACUUCUGCCAAGUGGUUUAUUCCAAGCAGUAAUGACUCUUGAGUUGGAAGAACUGGAGAAGAAUCCUUUGGAGAAAGUUAUUGCAGAUAUUGUUGCCCCAAGGGAAAAAGGCUACUUCCUUACUUUAAGUCAGGUGAGAGCAAACUCAAAGGGAGACUUGGGAGAGUUUGACAAGUAUCUCCCAGAGUGUAAAUGCUGGGGGUAAGACGCUAUGGCCAGACUGGAGCAAUGCACAAAGACAAGACAUGGGCCACACAGGAGGAAACAAACCUAGAGCCAUCUUGAAAGAACUGUCUAAAAGACAAAGUGACUCAAGAGACGGACAGCUACCAGAAGUCUAGGAACUGAGGACAAUGUCAAAAGUAACCAACUGCUUGAAGUAUCACCUAUUUCACAGGCAUGGGAGUUAUAGAUGAGGGUCUCAUAAGGGGAAUCACCCCAAAAACAAUGGAUAAAAAGAAUCUGCUUUGAACAUCUGUGAAGUCAAAGCCAAAUCACAUCAGUAAGAUCUCUACUGCCCCCUUUAUGUAUCUUCCUUCAUCUCACUCCAGUGCUGGAGGGGCCAGAAACCAUGGUGAGAGAAUGGAAGAGGAGAUGCCACUUCCCAUAUGCACGCACACCACGUGUGCAUGCACACACAUACCCACACACACCACUCCAGGCUUCCAAUCCUUGCUCAGCCCUGGCUGAGGAUGGAAGAAAUUUUAAAGCGGACAAUACGUUUGGAUUAUUAGACUGAACUGUAUUCUUUGAAGCUGCAGAACUAUUAAUUAUCAGAGAGUAACUUAAAAAGUUAUGUUCUUUAAUUCUGUUAUCCCUCUAUUUUGCCUAAUUACCAACAUUAAGAUUGUGUUUUUUCUAUUGCCUUUCAUUGGAAAUAAAUAAUGUAUUUCUACUCCCUUUAGAUUUUUCAGUGAACUAGUCCUAGGACCUCAGACACCUGUUCUUUAAAAAGGAGAAUGUGUGCAUCAUUUCAAAAAUCAAUGGUUGGGACUCAAUCCAUUUAGAGACUGAGUCUUCCUGCAAUGUGCUUACUCUUGUGGGGAUUGCCCAGGUAAGGCUAAAACAAAACUCUUUAUUCAAAAUGAUAAUCUCUGUAUAUAUAAGACUUGUAUGUGAUCUCAAAUCUCUCAAAGGAUUCUUGUAAAUGUUUUCCCCAGCAGGUCUGGCAUGGGACUAAGAGAAACUCAUUAUUCCAUUCGUAUUAAUUUGUCAUGGUGUGUACGGUCAUGUACCCAGGACAGAAAUGACACAAGCAAAGACUUCCAGGCUGACUGUCUCCAUGGCUCAAGUCACCAUAUUGACAGAGUAAAUAAAGAUAUAUUCUAAGACUUAUGAACCUGCCCAUUAUUCCUCUGGAACAGCAGCCAAAACCAAUAGGAAAAAAAAUGACCCAAUGCUGCCAGGAUGGCAGGCAUUCUUUACUACAUUUCAUGCCAAUUAUUUCCUUUCACAUGACAAGCAGGCAUUACUUUUCAACUCCUGACCUAUAUUUCACAUAUCUGGGUUUCAGACCAAAAGAAACACUAGCCAUCAUAAAAAUGC